GGGGAUGCAUGGUUUCGACAAUGUGCAGACGAUCUUAGUUGCAGCCCGACAUUGAGGAUGUGUCGUUAAAGAGCCUCAAACCUAUAAAUGACAACUCAAACGUUGCAUUCGCUCUAGCUGCCUGACGGCAGCUUGGCCGGGCGGUGACUGCCUUGGAACAGAAAGUCACUCAGUUUACAGUAACACCCUGCACCACAAUAGCUUGACACAUGGCUGUGUAUAGACUAGGCUAAGAAACACAUUGGACGCGGGUUCGACUCCCGCCAUCUCCAC
rnacentral:tmRNA from 1 species